GUGAGUCCACAUUAAGGGUGAGUCCACAUUAAGGGUGAGUCCACAUUAAGGGUGAGUCUACAUUAAGGGUGAGUCUACAUUAAGGGUGAGUCCACCUUUAGGGUGAGUCCACCUUUAGGGUGAGUCCACAUUAAAGGUGAGUCAACAUUAAGGGUGAGUCCACCUUUAGAGUGAGUCCACAUUAAGGGUGAGGACACCGCUGUGGAGCUGUUAAGAGUAGGUUGCAGGUGGAACUGUUAGAAUAAGGGUGGAGGUGGAGCUGUUAAGUGUAGGGUGAAGGUGGAACUGUUAGAAUAAGGGUGGAGGUGGAGCUGUUAAGAGUAGGGUGGAGGUGGAACUGUUAGAAUAAGGGUGGAGCUGUUAGAGUAGGGUGGAGGUGGAACUGUUAGAAUAAGGGUGGAGGUGGAGCUGUUAGAGUAGGGUGGAGGUGCAUGCGUUAGAGUAGGGUGGAGGUGGAGCUGUUAGAGUAGGGUGGAGGUGGAUGCAUUAGAGUAGGGUGGAGGUGGAGCUGUUAGAGUAGGGUGGAUGUGGAGCUGUUAGAGUAGGGUGGAGGUGGAGCUGUUAGAGUAGGGUGGAGGUGGAUGCGUUAGAGUAGGGUGGAGGUGGAGCUGUUAGAGUAGGGUGGAGGUGGAGCUGUUAGAGUAGGGUGGAGGUGGAGCUGUUAGAGUAGGGUGGAGAUGGAUGCGUUAGAGUAGGGUGGAGGUGGAGCUGUUAGAGUAGGGUGGAGGUGGAGCUGUUAGAGUAGGGUGGAGGUGGAUGCGUUAGAGUAGGGUGGAAGGAGGUGGAGCGACCGGUUUGAUCCGCCUCAGGAUCGAGGGCCUGAUGGAGAUGUUCUGUAGAACCGGGCUGGUACCUCACUGGUGUAGGUGGAGAACGUUACUGGUGCCAGUACUGGUACUGGUUUGAGUGUAGACCAGUACCUCACUGGUGUAGGUGGAGAACGUUACUGGUACCAGUACUGGUACUGGUUUGAGUGUAGACCAGUACCUCACUGGUGUAGGUGGAGAACGUUACUGGUACCAGUACUGGUACUGGUUUGAGUGUAGACCAG
ensembl:lncRNA